rnacentral:rRNA from 1 species
AUGGACGUCGAGUACCACGAGGAGUACGUGAGGAACUCGAGCGGGGUGCAGCUCUUCACCUGCGGAUGGCUGCCGGCCUCCACAUCGCCGAGGGCGCUCGUCUUCCUCUGCCACGGUUACGGCAUGGAAUGCAGCGGCUUCAUGAGAGCGUGCGGCGUGCGGCUGGCGGCGGCGGGGUACGGCGUGUUCGGGAUGGACUACGAGGGGCACGGCAAGUCCAUGGGCACCCGCUGCUACAUCCGCAGCUUCCACCGCCUCGUCGACGACUGCGACCGAUUCUACAAGUCCAUCUGCGACCUGGAAGAGUACCGGAGCAAGAGCAGGUUCCUGUACGGCGAGUCCAUGGGCGGCGCCGUGGCGCUGCUGCUGCACAGGAAGGACCCCACCUUCUGGGACGGCGCCGUCCUCGUCGCGCCCAUGUGCAAGAUAUCGGAGAAGGUGAAGCCGCACCCGCUGGUUAUCACCGCCCUCACGCAGGUGGAGGACAUCAUACCCAGGUGGAAGAUCGUCCCGACCAAAGACGUCAUCGAUGCCGCCUUCAAGGACCCCGACAAGCGCGAAAAGAUCAGGAAGAACAAGCUGAUCUACCAAGACAAGCCGCGGCUCAAGACGGCGCUGGAGAUGCUCAGGACCAGCAUGUACGUGGAGGACAGCCUAUCCAAGGUGAAGCUGCCCUUCUUGGUCCUGCACGGCGAGGCCGACACCGUGACGGACCCGGAGGUGAGCCGCGCGCUGUACGAGCACGCCGCCAGCACGGACAAGGCCAUCAAGCUCUACCCGGGGAUGUGGCACGGCCUCACCGCCGGCGAGCCGGACGAGAACGUUGAGGCCGUCUUCUCCGACAUCAUCGCGUGGCUCAAUGCGCGCAGACGCGUCUGGACGCCGGAGGAGCGCCUGACGAAGAUGUUGGCGGCGCCCAAGAAGCCCGACAUCGACGAGAAAGACCAUGGCUCCACGCGGCCUCGGCGGCGGCGCCGGGGCUUCCUCUGCGGGCUCACCGGCCGGACGCACCACCACUCAGAAAUGUAG